rnacentral:rRNA from 1 species
UACGUAGGGUGCAAGCGUUGUCCGGAAUUAUUGGGCGUAAAGAGCUCGUAGGCGGUCUGUCGCGUCGGAUGUGAAAACCCAGGGCUCAACCCUGGGCCUGCAUUCGAUACGGGCAGACUAGAGUUCGGUAGGGGAGACUGGAAUUCCUGGUGUAGCGGUGAAAUGCGUAGAUAUCGUAAGGAAGACCAGUGGCGAAGGCGGGUCUCUGGACAGUUCCUGACGCUGAGGCACGAAGGUCAGGGGAGCAAACGGG